AUGAUAGGAAGCAAAAAGAAAAACAAAAAACAAAUUAAUCAAAUCAAAUUAACAAAAGAAAGAAUGAAUCCGGGUGGGCGUGCGUGGUUCGAGUCAGAGGCAUGCGAGCUCCUUGACGACGUUGACGGACGUGCCGACGGCGUUCUUGCAGACGGCCAUGGUCUUGUUGUUCGUGCCGGUGUACUUGAGGUUGACGUUGACGAGCUGCAGGCCCUGGCAGGGCACGUUGUUGACGCAGUUGAGCGUGACGGCCUCGGGCGUGGCGGAGGUCCCGACGAUGUUCUUGAAGACGAUGUCGGCGACGACCACCUUGGAGGCGCCGGGGGCCUUGGCGCAGAUGUUGUUGGGGCAGUACUUCUGGUCGAUGACGAUGGGGUAGGAGACGUUGUCCAUUUUCACGUCGUCGUACACGAAGCGGGUGGCCCUGAGCGCCGACUUGGAGUCCUCGUACGACUUGAUCCGGAGCCCGUUGGUGGCGCCCUUGAUGGUGCAGUUGGUCACCUGGAUGUCCUCCACGUCCUUCUCGUCCUUGUACCGCCCCAGGCUGCCCACGCUGAUGCCGUGGCCGGGGCCGCACCGGGAGCCGUGGAUCUUGACGUGCUUGGUCCCGGGCCCGAUGGAGAUGCAGUCGUCGCCGACGCCGAUGUUGGUCGCCUUGAUGGUCACGUCCUCCGAGUCGCCCAUGUGGAUGCCGUCCGUGUUGGGGCUGUUCCCCGGCGCCGUGAUCUCCACGUUCUCCACCAGCACCGUCUUGCACUUGAAGAGGUUGAGGUGGAAGAACUUGGCGUUCUUGAGCGUGAUGCCCCGGAUCGUCGCGUUGUUCACGUAGUCCAGCACCAGGCUCUGCAUGCGUGCAUGCACGUGUGA
rnacentral:rRNA from 1 species